rnacentral:misc_RNA from 1 species
GAAAUGCGAUACGUAAUGUGAAUUGCAGAAUUCCGUGAAUCAUCGAAUCUUUGAACGCACAUUGCACUCUAUUUCGGUAGAGUAUGCCUGUUUGAGAAUCUAUAGUAUUUAUUUUGCCUUUAUGUUUUUUCGAAAACGUAGAGAACAAAGAUGUGCAUUUUGACUAAUAAUCUAAUGCGAAUUUAACUAGCUGAACCAGUGCUUAUAGUGUCUGACUUUUUGCAACGCUUCAGAAAUGUAUUUGAAUGAGAUUCAUCUCUUAUAAUGCGGAUUAUGAAGCAGUAAAGAUUAGCUUUAAGAACUUUUACAGAUUAUACUCAUAAAGCCUUAAAACAGCUUGAACCAUGGUCUCAAAUCAGGUAGGAAUACCCGCUGAACUUAA